CAGAGAGGGAGCUAGAGAAAGCUGGUAAGAAAACCAAAAUGAAUGUCAUCCUUAUUGAAGCUGAUGGUUUGCAACUGGAGUGUACUUUAUUUGGUCAAUAUGUUGAUAUGUUAAAUGCAUUUCUGGCCUCUGGAGAGGAUCAACAUGUUGUCAUUGCUUUGCAUUAUUGCAAAGUGAAGACCUUCCAAGAUAAAGUUUCUAUUCAAAACUGUAUGAACUGUACCAAGAU